rnacentral:sRNA from 1 species
CCACAUCACAUUUGUGUGGGCACACACUGCAGUGGAUUUCUGUAUCCCACCACUCCAAUGUAUCCCAUGAUAUUUCUUGAAAUGUUCCUUCAUUUAGUGUGAUGAUCUCUGGAUUUCUCUCUAUCGGUGAAGAGGGCCUACUUUCAAAUUUCAGUCCUGAUUAAAGCUUCAUUCCAGACCUAUAUCACACUUCUUUAUCCAUUCCUCUAUCCAAGUACACUGUCUUACCUUUCAUUGCUUUGAUGUUCUGAAUGAUGCAGCAGGAUCUAGUUUGGGGUGUGUGGUGUUUGAAAUCUGUUCAUGUCUGAAAUACUGCAGGAGAGGAUCUGAUUUACCAUGCUGUCAUGACCUCUUUAUUUAUUUAUUUUUCUUUCAUGGGAGUGCACCUUUCUAGUCAUGUCCAUAGUGGCUCUUACCAGGUCCAUUAAAGCAUUACCUUAAAGCAUCCACUGUACUACUCCUACUCUGCCAUUGAUGCCAUGUCCAGGAUUUGACAGUGGCCCUUUUCCAUGCUCAGGCGGAGGUGAUAAUGUCCUCAGAGUUUAGAUGUCUGUAUCUCUUAGAAUUCACCCUAUGUGUCAUGUGCUUUUUUAAAGAAACACGGAAUUAUGUUUAGCUGUUCAUAUCCUCUUCCUGUUAGCUUCUCCCAAGUUUACUUUACUUAUUUUCCCCUCUGUGAACCCUGAAAAUUUGUUAAGGGUGGAUAUCAGUUAGAGCUCAGC